UACAGAGGUGCCGAGCGUUAGGCGGAAUCACUGGGCUUAAAGCGUGUGUAGGCGGACUUCUAAGUACCUUGUGAAAUCCCACGGCUCACCCGUGGAACUGCUGGGUAUACUGGUCGUCUUGAGCCACCUAGGGGCCAGCGGAACAAAUGGUGGAGCGGUGAAAUGCGUAGAUAUCAUGUGGAACGCCAACGGUGAAAACAGCUGGCUGGGGGUGUGCUGACGCUGAGACACGAAAGCCAGGGGAGCGAACGGG
rnacentral:rRNA from 1 species